CUGGUACACUCAUACAAUAGAAUGUUAUUAAGUGAUAAAAAGGUACACACUAUUUAACUAUGAGAAGACAUGGAAAAAAAAAAAAAAAACCUUAAAAGCCCAUCGCUAAGUGAAAGAAGCCGAUCUGAAAAGACUACAUACUGUUAUCAGCCUUUUGCCAAGCUGAACACAAGAGGAUGAAAAGAAAAUCUGGGCUCGAAUGUGCAAUUUCAUAUUUUCUGUUAAGGCAAUUUACAACAUAUCAUAAAGCUGCAUUAAUAAACAGAUGUUCCACAGUCUGCAGAAUAUAAAAUAAAUGUCUUGAAUAAGCUACGAAGACCAAGGCACUUUU
rnacentral:lncRNA from 1 species